rnacentral:rRNA from 1 species
GACGAACGCUGGCGGCGUGCUUAACACAUGCAAGUCGAACGGUGAAGGUGGAGCUUGCUCUGCUGGAUCAGUGGCGAACGGGUGAGUAACACGUGAGUAACCUGCCCCUCACUUCGGGAUAACCUCGGGAAAUCGUGGCUAAUACCGGAUACGAGGCACCUUCGCAUGGAGUGUGCCUAGAAAGAUUUAUCGGUGGGGGAUGGACUCGCGGCCUAUCAGCUUGUUGGUGGGGUAAUGGCCUACCAAGGCGACGACGGGUAGCCGGCCUGAGUGGGCGAACGGCCAAACUGGGACUGAGAUACGGCCCAGACUCCUACGGGAGGCAGCAGUGGGGAAUAUUGCACAAUGGGCGCAAGCCUGAUGCAGCGACGCCGCGUGGGGGAUGAAGGCCUUCGGGUUGUAAACCCCUUUCAGCAGGGAAGAAGCGAGAGUGACGGUACCUGCAGAAGAAGCGCCUGCUAACUACGUGCCAGCAGCCGCCGUAA